GAAUCCUCGCGAAAGGGGUGGCGGUCAAAGCGGUGUUCUCUCUCCCCAAUCGCCACCACAUCUUCAUCGUCCAAUGGAUAGCUCCAUCACGUCCUGUCUCGAAUUAUCCAGACCUUCAUCGCCAAUCCCCAUCCAUUAGGUAAAAAAAAAAACCUUGAUUCUUGCGGUUGGCGGCCUCCUCCUACGCCUAGGCCCUGCAGCUCCAUGUGUAUAUGAAGGAUCCAUCAGCUGGCACGUUCCCAGGCCGAAUCCCUUUGUCGCCGGUGGCCAUGGGGCGGCUGCAGCUCGAUCCUCAUGACCUCGCCGGCUGGUCCGCCGUGUGCCUGCUCGGCGGCCAGCACCGUCCCAGCUUGCUCUUGAUCUAGGGGUGAAACCCACUGGUGAAAACCUACGGCCGGCCUAUCGGACCUUUUGGCCGACCCCAUCCCACGUAGGAAACUAGGAAUUCCCUCCUUCCUCUUCUCCUCUGCUUUGUACCUGACACUUCGUGUCCGCCGGCCAUCACUUCUUACUCAAGGAGCAUGACAAGGGAGCAUCCUCGAAUUUGUAGUGAAGUUCCUCCCCGUUCUCCUCACCAAAGUCUGUUAUGCAAGAAUAAUAUGAGGUUCUGCAGAUGAUUGGUCCCAGAUCUUCAUGUUCUACCUAGGAUGGUUUGGAUUUUUUAGACCUGAACUUAAAUGCACAGUACGGAUCUUUCUAUUUUUUCAAAGAAAAUUACUCUUGCUGUCUUCCGAUGCCUCUGAACAUUUUGCCUCUGAACUAAUUGGUGUAAUAGAUCUUCUCACAAUUCCUCUUUUGUCUCAGUCAUAAAGGUCAGAUGUCUCAUGCUUGGUUGUUUUUUCAGUAUAUGCUUUCCUUGCAUAGUGCCGAGCUUCACAUCAAAAGGGUAUUUUAAUUGUAGGUUUUUGGAUUCAGCUGUAGUUCACCGACGAUGGUGACGGGUGCACAAAGGCCAUAGAGGCAAAGUCAAAAAUGGCAGGAUUGAUGCAGGCGGUCAUGGCAAGAAACUGACCAAUCAAUUACCUCCAGAAGUGCUCAGGAUCCCCUGUAAGGCAAAGCAAGUUCCGCUGCUCCAAUAACGUCUCUCUUACAUUCGGAAUCAAUUUUUUGCUAAAUUUCAUGAAUCUUUUGUUACUGAAUACGUCCUUCAUUUUCAUUGCCUAGAUUUCAGCCUGCCCAAUGAAGAGUUGAAUUGUACCUUCAUCAGCCCAUGGAUGAGCAAGUGAGCAGGCUAUAUGUACAGCUAACGAAACUGCUCUCAUCCAAUCAUUUACAUACCUACAGAUGUAAAUUCUGCUAUGCCUACUAAUGCUGAGAUCGUUUUGUUUCGGUUGGUACUAAAUCGGGUAGGCCACAAGUUUUCCUACGUCAUGGCUGCAGUCGGUUAAUAUUAGAAACUAAUGUUUUGGAGAUACCUUGCAGUUUUUACCUAGCCAGCAAUGAUUUUUGGUCUCCUUUAGGGCACUAUGUUACAACUUACAACUAAACUCUGGCACUGUCUAAAUUCUUAAUUCCUGCUUGACAAUGUUGUUUUCAUUAUUUUUUUCCAUGUUUGUUUUUGCAGGCGCCAUUCUCAGUUGUAUGGGUAGUGCAGGCAAGGUGGGCUGCUGCCUGACAGUGGGAAUGACAACUUGCUGACCUCCGCUGGACCUUGAGUGUGACCUGAAGAAUCACAGGCUAUGAAUGGUGAGCUGAAGCGAGAGGACUUGGUGGACGCGUGGUCAAGGAACCUCCCCUACUACAUUGGCGAAUGGUAAUGGCUCAGCGUUGGCCGUCAUUUGCAGUAUCACCUUCUGUAGCUUUCGAUUAUGUGAGAUUUUUACAAAGCAACUGUAGUUCAACGUGGCAAAAUCUGAUUUGUGAGUUAUUUACACCCUAUGCUUUUGUUCAUGUGGUAGUGAAUUGUACUUUCACUAGCUCCAGCAGCAGCAACGACGAUGACAAGCUGGCCAAACCCACAACUGAAGCCAUGGAUGAGAUGUCAUUGUUGCCUGGCGUUUAGCACUUCUCUACAAGUUAUAUGAAGCAAUGGACGCACCAAGCUGCCUCUUCUAUUUACUUAUUAAUUCUUUGAGAGGUUGACGAAAUUUUCCAAAACCUGCCUUUUCUCAUGGGCAGCUUUAUGGUGGUGUCUCAAGGAUAAUUUCUAGGAGAGGGCUAAAAGCCCUUGCGCUUGAUGAAAAUGGAGAAACAACUUUAGAAACAAAAAACAUAGUGUACCAGGAGAUGCUUGAUAAUAUCUGGACGAUAUAUGUCAAUAUGUGUAGUUGUAGGAUCAGGACUCUGUUCAAGGGUUCAACCUGAAGUUGCUGCAGUUGAUGGUUACAGACCAACCGAUCUAGGAGAAAUGGAUUCCUUGCGAACAUAAUGGACUUAGGCUAGAAAAAAGAGCCAUACAGUGUUCUCUUCCCUGAACUUUCUUAGCUGGUGUGUUAAAAGGGGUACCUUCUUUAGUUUUGUUCUCUGCAUUCUGUUGUGAAGAAGUAUAUCAGAAGCCUCACUUUCUAUUUA